AUUGUUUGGGAAAGUUCCUUUAAAAGAAAAAUACUGAUGUGCCCUUUUGUACUAAGAAGUGGUUUUUAAAACAAAACAAAAGCGUUUAUCACAUGAAAUUGAUCCCUCAUUUCAUGUGUAGUCAUUACAUUGAAGGGUUACUCUCAUUCGAAGGGAUGUCCCCAACCUUUUGGAUAGAUUUCUUCAUAACGACAGUUUUCUUUUCUUGACCAUCGUAAAUAAAAAAGUUGAGACGUAAAACUAUGCUUGAAACACGUGUGUCACUCAAACGACUUUAAAGUAAAUGUAGUCUCCCUAAUCAAAUAUCUAUAUUAAAAAGUCAAAGAAUAAUUAAAGUUUUAAAUCAGAGAUUUUUCUUGCUUUUGAAUAUUUUACGUCACACCAACAGCUUUCUUUUCUAAACUAUCUUUAACAGGAGAGGAGACAUCAAAGGUUUGCUUCAAACACGUGCGUCGCAAAGUGGUAAAUUAAUCCUUUAUGUGACAUUAAGCUGAAGCCAUUUAACCAUAUCAUUUUGUCAAACAAUUCAAUCAACACCUUUAUUAAUUAGUCCUUUGUUGUCAAUAGCUAUAAAUUGCAAUCAGCUGAUUACUGAUUUUCUGUCAAAAUCUUAAUGUGGUCAAGGUGAAUUACGAGUAUUGUCUGAUCAGGUAAAGUCCGAGAAAAUCGAAAAAAAGUAAAUAAACAAGAUGGUAAAAAAUAAAUCGUUAUAUAUAUUUCUUUCGCCAAAUUCUUUCGCAAAUGACGAAUUUUUAUCGCCACAAUUAAUAUUUUUUCGCAAAUUGCGAAAAUGGCGACCGGCAGCGGAAACCCUGACAUUUGUACAUACUUUAUUGUGUCUUCAAGCCUGAGCUUGAUUAAUUGUUACAUUUGUAUGUUCAAGGGAAGUGCUAUUAUAAAGCACUGUUGUCCCUCAUCAGCCAUUGUAUAUUGAAAUGUUUCAAAUGUAUUGAAUGAUAAAGUGAUGUUGAGAAAUAGUGAUAAAUAAAAAUAUCUAUGCAG
rnacentral:lncRNA from 1 species